rnacentral:tRNA from 1 species
AAAUAAGAAGCAAUAAUGCAAAUAGUUUCGACCUAUUUAUUGAUAUAAUUAUCCUUAUUUA